rnacentral:rRNA from 1 species
UGGAUAAUCAGAAAACGAGGAGGUCGGAUUUGGCCUAGAUUGAACGCUGGCGGGAUGCUUUACACAUGCAAGUCGAACGGCAGCACGGACUUCGGUCUGGUGGCGAGUGGCGAACGGGUGAGUAAUGUAUCGGAACGUGCCUAGUAGCGGGGGAUAACUACGCGAAAGGGAAGCAAUACCGCAUACGCCCUUCGGGGGAAAGCGGGGACCUUCGGGCCUCGCACUAUUAGAGCGGCCGAUAUCGGAUUAGCUAGUUGGUGGGGUAACGGCUCACCAAGGCGACGAUCCGUAGCUGGUCGAGAGGACGACCAGCCACACUGGGACUGAGACACGGCCCAGACUCCUACGGGAGGCAGCAGUGGGGAAUUUUGGACAAUGGGGGGAAACCCUGAUCCAGCCAUCCCGCGUGUGCGAUGAAGGCCUUCGGGUUGUAAAGCACUUUUGGCAGGAAAGAAACGGCACGGGAUAAUACCCCUCGUGCAACUGACGGUACCUGCAGAAUAAGCACCGGCUACUACGUGCCAGCAGCCGCGGUAAUACGUAGGGUGCAAGCGUUAAUCGGAAUUAGCUACAGUAAAAGCGUGCGCAGCGGUCUGGAAAAAGAAAGAUGUGAAAUCCCAGAGUUUAACUUCGGAACUGCAUUUUAAUCAUCGAGCUAGAGUGUGUCAGAGGGAGGUGGAAUUCCGCGUAGCAGAACGUGUAGAUAUGCGAGGAACACCGAUGGCGAAGGCAGCCUCCUGGGAUAACACUGACGCUCAUACACGAAAGCGUGGGGAGCAAACAGGGAUUAGAUACCCUGGUAGUCCACGCCCUAAACGAUGUCAACUAGUUGUUGGGGCCUUCGGGCCUUGGUAGCGCAGCUAACGCAGUGAAGCGACUGCCUUUGGGAUGGUCAAAGAUUUAAAACCCUCAAAGGAAUUGACGGGGACCCGCACAAGCGGUGGAUGAUGUGGAUUAAUUCGAUGCAACGCGAAAAACCUACCUACCCUUGACAUGUCUGGAAUCCCGAAGAGAUUUGGGAGUGCUCGCAAGAGAACCGGAACACAGGUGCUGCAUGGCUGUCGUCAGCUCGUGUCGUGAGAUGUUGGGUUAAGUCCCGGCAACGAGCGCAACCCUUGUCAUUAGUUGCUACGGAAGCGGGCACCUAAUGAGACUGCCGGUGACAAACUGGAGGAAGGUGGGGAUGACGUCAAGUCCUCAUGGCCCUUAUGGGUAGGGCUUCACACGUCAUACAAUGGUCGGGACAGGGUCGCCAACCCGCGAGGGGGAGCCAAUCCCAGAAACCCGAUCGUAGUCCGGAUCGCAGUCUGCAACUCGACUGCGUGAAGUCGGAAUCGCUGCUAGUAAUCGCGGAUCAGCAUGUCGCGGUGAAUACGUUCCCGGGUCUUGCACACACCGCCCGUCACACCAUGGGAGUGGGUUUUACCAGAAGUAGUUAGCCUAACCGGGUGAGGAAGCAUUACCACGGUAGGAUUCAUGACUGGGGUGAAGUCGUAAUAAGGGUAA